rnacentral:rRNA from 1 species
AAAGAAACUAACAAGGAUUCCCCUAGUAACGGCGAGUGAAGCGGGAAGAGCUCAAAUUUGAAAUCUGGCAGUCUUCGAUUGUCCGAGUUGUAAUCUAUAGAGGCGUUUUCCGUGCCGGACCGUGUCCAAGUCUCCUGGAAAGGAGUAUCAAAGAGGGUGAUAAUCCCGUACUUAACACGACCACCGGUGCUCUGUGAUACGUCUUCUACGAGUCGAGUUGUUUGGGAAUGCAGCUCAAAAUGGGUGGUGAAUUCCAUCUAAAGCUAAAUAUUGGCGAGAGACCGAUAGCGAACAAGUACCGUGAGGGAAAGAUGAAAAGCACUUUGGAAAGAGAGUUAAACAGUACGUGAAAUUGUUGAAAGGGAAACGAUUGAAGUCAGUCGUGUUCUUUGGAUUCAGCCAGUUCUGCUGGUCUACUUCCUUGGAACGGGUCAACAUCAGUUUUGUCCGGUGGAUAAAGGUAGUAGGAAUGUGACUUCUCCGGAAGUGUUAUAGCCUAUUAUCACAUACACUGGGUGAGACUGAGGACUGCAGCUCGCCUUUAUGGCCGGCCUUCGGGCACGUUCGAGCUUAGGAUGUUGACAUAAUGGCUUUAAACGACCCGUC